UCUAGAACUCGAGAUAUGGGCUGAACACUGAACAGUGUCUGGGCUGCAGGACAGAUUCAGACUUCUCUGUUGUUGCUACAAUUUGGACUUGAAAACAGCCUUUUUAAAUCUUGUACUCCCAUGAAAGUUUUAGGCCUAUGUCUUAGCUUUCCAUC
rfam:Populus trichocarpa isolate Nisqually-1 chromosome 12, whole genome shotgun sequence.